ACGUAGGUGGCAAGCGUUGUCCGGAAUUACUGGGUGUAAAGGGAGCGUAGGCGGGACAGCAAGUUGAAUGUGAAACCUAUGGGCUUAACCCAUAGUUGCGUUCAAAACUGUUGUUCUUGAGUGAAGUAGAGGCAGGCGGAAUUCCUAGUGUAGCGGUGAAAUGCGUAAAUAUUAGGAGGAACACCAGUGGCGAAGGCGGCCUGCUGGGCUUUAACUGACGCUGAGGCUCGAAAGCGUGGGUAGCAAACAG
rnacentral:rRNA from 1 species